rnacentral:rRNA from 1 species
AUACGUAGGGUGCAAGCGUUAAUCGGAAUUACUGGGCGUAAAGCGUGCGCAGGCGAUUUUGUAAGACAGUGGUGAAAUCCCCGGGCUCAACCUGGGAACUGCCAUUGUGACUGCAAGGCUGGAGUGCGGCAGAGGGGGAUGGAAUUCCGCGUGUAGCAGUGAAAUGCGUAGAUAUGCGGAGGAACACCGAUGGCGAAGGCAAUCCCCUGGGCCUGCACUGACGCUCAUGCACGAAAGCGUGGGGAGCAAACAGGAUUAGAUACCCUGGUAGUCCACGCCCUAAACGAUGUCAACUGGUUGUUGGGGAUUUAUUUUCUCAGUAACGAAGCUAACGCGUGAAGUUGACCGCCUGGGGAGUACGGCCGCAAGGUUAAAACUCAAAUGAAUGGGCGGGG